rnacentral:rRNA from 1 species
GAAUCCAUAGGUUAAUGAGGCGAACCGGGGGAACUGAAACAUCUAAGUACCCCGAGGAAAAGAAAUCAACCGAGAUUCCCCCAGUAGCGGCGAGCGAACGGGGAGCAGCCCAGAGCCUGAAUCAGUGUGUGUGUUAGUGGAAGCGUCUGGAAAGGCGCGCGAUACAGGGUGACAGCCCCGUACACAAAAAUGCACAUGCUGUGAGCUCGAUGAGUAGGGCGGGACACGUGGUAUCCUGUCUGAAUAUGGGGGGACCAUCCUCCAAGGCUAAAUACUCCUGACUGACCGAUAGUGAACCAGUACCGUGAGGGAAAGGCGAAAAGAACCCCGGCGAGGGGAGUGAAAAAGAACCUGAAACCGUGUACGUACAAGCAGUGGGAGCACGCUUAGGCGUGUGACUGCGUACCUUUUGUAUAAUGGGUCAGCGACUUAUAUUCUGUAGCAAGGUUAACCGAAUAGGGGAGCCGAAGGGAAACCGAGUCUUAACUGGGCGUUAAGUUGCAGGGUAUAGACCCGAAACCCGGUGAUCUAGCCAUGGGCAGGUUGAAGGUUGGGUAACACUAACUGGAGGACCGAACCGACUAAUGUUGAAAAAUUAGCGGAUGACUUGUGGCUGGGGGUGAAAGGCCAAUCAAACCGGGAGAUAGCUGGUUCUCCCCGAAAGCUAUUUAGGUAGCGCCUCGUGAAUUCAUCUCCGGGGGUAGAGCACUGUUUCGGCAAGGGGGUCAUCCCGACUUACCAACCCGAUGCAAACUGCGAAUACCGGAGAAUGUUAUCACGGGAGACACACGGCGGGUGCUAACGUCCGUCGUGAAGAGGGAAACAACCCAGACCGCCAGCUAAGGUCCCAAAGUCAUGGUUAAGUGGGAAACGAUGUGGGAAGGCCCAGACAGCCAGGAUGUUGGCUUAGAAGCAGCCAUCAUUUAAAGAAAGCGUAAUAGCUCACUGGUCGAGUCGGCCUGCGCGGAAGAUGUAACGGGGCUAAACCAUGCACCGAAGCUGCGGCAGCGACGCUUAUGCGUUGUUGGGUAGGGGAGCGUUCUGUAAGCCUGCGAAGGUGUGCUGUGAGGCAUGCUGGAGGUAUCAGAAGUGCGAAUGCUGACAUAAGUAACGAUAAAGCGGGUGAAAAGCCCGCUCGCCGGAAGACCAAGGGUUCCUGUCCAACGUUAAUCGGGGCAGGGUGAGUCGACCCCUAAGGCGAGGCCGAAAGGCGUAGUCGAUGGGAAACAGGUUAAUAUUCCUGUACUUGGUGUUACUGCGAAGGGGGGACGGAGAAGGCUAUGUUGGCCGGGCGACGGUUGUCCCGGUUUAAGCGUGUAGGCUGGUUUUCCAGGCAAAUCCGGAAAAUCAAGGCUGAGGCGUGAUGACGAGGCACUACGGUGCUGAAGCAACAAAUGCCCUGCUUCCAGGAAAAGCCUCUAAGCAUCAGGUAACAUCAAAUCGUACCCCAAACCGACACAGGUGGUCAGGUAGAGAAUACCAAGGCGCUUGAGAGAACUCGGGUGAAGGAACUAGGCAAAAUGGUGCCGUAACUUCGGGAGAAGGCACGCUGAUAUGUAGGUGAAGUCCCUCGCGGAUGGAGCUGAAAUCAGUCGAAGAUACCAGCUGGCUGCAACUGUUUAUUAAAAACACAGCACUGUGCAAACACGAAAGUGGACGUAUACGGUGUGACGCCUGCCCGGUGCCGGAAGGUUAAUUGAUGGGGUUAGCGGUAACGCGAAGCUCUUGAUCGAAGCCCCGGUAAACGGCGGCCGUAACUAUAACGGUCCUAAGGUAGCGAAAUUCCUUGUCGGGUAAGUUCCGACCUGCACGAAUGGCGUAAUGAUGGCCAGGCUGUCUCCACCCGAGACUCAGUGAAAUUGAACUCGCUGUGAAGAUGCAGUGUACCCGCGGCAAGACGGAAAGACCCCGUGAACCUUUACUAUAGCUUGACACUGAACAUUGAGCCUUGAUGUGUAGGAUAGGUGGGAGGCUUUGAAGUGUGGACGCCAGUCUGCAUGGAGCCGACCUUGAAAUACCACCCUUUAAUGUUU